rnacentral:miRNA from 18 species
AAAGUUUUAUUGCAGUUUUAAG